GAUGAACGCUGGCGGCGUGCCUAACACAUGCAAGACGAGCGAUUCUCUUCGGAGAAGAGCGGCGGACGGGUGAGUAACGCGUGGGUAACCUGCCUUGUACACACGGAUAACAUACCGAAAGGUAUGCUAAUACGGGAUAACAUAAGAAAUUCGCAUGUUUUUCUUAUCAAAGCUCCGGCGGUACAGGAUGGACCCGCGUCUGAUUAGCUAGUUGGUGAGGUAACGGCUUACGAAGGCGACGAUCAGUAGCCGACCUGAGAGGGUGAUCGGCCACAUUGGAACUGAGACACGGUCCAAACUCCUACGGGAGGCAGCAGUGGGGAAUAUUGCACAAUGGGCGAAAGCCUGAUGCAGCAACGCCGCGUGAGCGAUGAAGGCCUUCGGGUCGUAAAGCUCUGUCCUCAAGGAAGAUAAUGACGGUACUUGAGGAGGAAGCCCCGGCUAACUACGUGCCAGCCGCCGCCGUAAAAC
rnacentral:rRNA from 1 species